UACGUAGGUGGCAAGCGUUGUCCGGAUUUAUUGGGUUUAAAGGGUGCGUAGGUGGUCUAUUAAGUCAGUGCUGAAAUAUCCCGGCUUAACCGGGAGGGUGGCAUUGAUACUGAUGGACUUGAGUAAAGUUGAGGUAGGCGGAAUUGACGGUGUAGCGGUGAAAUGCUUAGAUAUCGUCAAGAACACCUAUAGCGAAGGCAGCUUACUAAGCUUUAACUGACACUGAUGCACGAAAGUGUGGGGAUCAAACAGG
rnacentral:rRNA from 1 species